ACGGGAGGCAGCAGUGGGGAAUAUUGGACAAUGGGGGAAACCCUGAUCCAGCGACGCCGCGUGAGUGAAGAAGUAUUUCGGUAUGUAAAGCUCUAUCAGCAGGGAAGAUAAUGACGGUACCUGACUAAGAAGCCCCGGCUAACUACGUGCCAGCAGCCGCGGUAAUACGUAGGGGGCAAGCGUUAUCCGGAUUUACUGGGUGUAAAGGGAGCGUAGACGGAAGGCCAAGUCUGAUGUGAAAGCCCGGGGCUCAACCCCGGGACUGCAUUGGAAACUGGUCAUCUGGAGUGCAGGAGGGGUAAGCGGAAUUCCUAGUGUAGCGGUGAAAUGCGUAGAUAUUCGGAGGAACACCAGUGGCGAAGGCGGCUUGCUGGGCUCUAACUGACGCUGAGGCUCGAAAGUGUGGGUAGCAAACAGGAUUAGAUACCCUGGUA
rnacentral:rRNA from 1 species